rnacentral:rRNA from 1 species
UACGUAGGGGGCAAGCGUUAUCCGGAAUUAUUGGGCGUAAAGAGUACGUAGGUGGCAACCUAAGCGCAGGGUUUAAGGCAAUGGCUCAACCAUUGUUCGCCCUGCGAACUGGGAUGCUUGAGUGCAGGAGAGGAAAGCGGAAUUCCUAGUGUAGCGGUGAAAUGCGUAGAUAUUAGGAAGAACACCGGAGGCGAAGGCGGUUUACUGGACUGCAACUGACACUGAGGCUCGAAAGCGUGGGGAGCAAACAGG